rnacentral:lncRNA from 1 species
GAGAUAUUUGACAGUGUCGUAGGAUUCCAAUUAAGAGAGAGACAAUUUCUGCUGUUGUGAAAGGAUAGAAAUGGAAGAGAGGGGCAGGGUUGCUGAUGCCAGAGGCCAAGGAGACUGCCUAAGAUGCCCAAGGAGUCAAGGAUUGGGGCCAAGUCUGCAAAGUGGACAGUAAGGGUAUUCUGUGGGGAGGCGGAGGCCACUGCUUCCCACACUACACCUUGGCCUUAAGACUGAUUGCCUGAUGAACUAACACAUGCUGGCGAUCUUCGAUUUAAUGGCAUGCUGCCCUCUCCCUCUCCCCUUCCCCACAAGCUUUGCUUCAAGUACUCUAUGUGGAAAUUAAAUGUUGUUAUUCAAACUCCAUGUCAUUGACUAUGUUAAAGUAACUGUUGGCUUCAAUAACAGGUAAACCCAAGAAUCCCAAUGGCUUAACACCCUCGAAGUUUAUAUCCUGUUAAUAGAUCAUGUAAAGUUCAGUUGGUGGUAAUGAGGUAAGGCAGGCAGUGGUUCUGUUCCGUCUAGUCCUUUAGGGAUCCAGACUGAUGUAGGCUUCCCACCACAUUCAGCACUUGGCCUCCAAGGUUGCUGUGGGCAUCAACAUGCAGCUGACAGACAAGGAAAGAAGAGUGUGUAGGAUCACAUGGGUGUAUUUUAGGGGCCUAACCUAGAACUGUCACAAAUUCCUUCCACUCAAUUCCAUUGGCCAUAAGUCAGUCAUGUGGUCCCAUCUAGAUGCUGAGGGUCUAGGAAAUGAAGUCCCUGGUUAGGCAGCCACUUCCUCAACAACAAUGUAUUUCAUUGCUAUAGAUUAAAUGUCUAUGUCCCUCUAAAAUUCAUAUGUUGAAACCUAAUCUCCAAUGUGAUGGUACUUGGAGGUGGGGCCUUUGGGAGGUGAUUAGGUCAUGAAGGCGGAGCCCUUACAAAUGGGAUUAUAAAAGAGAUGCAGGAGGGCUCUUUGCCCCUUUCACCAGACACAUACAACAGGUUCCUAUGAACCAGGAAGCAAGCUCUUAUCAGACGCUGAAUCUCCUGGAGCCUUGAUCUUAGACUUCCCAGCCUCCAGAACUGCGAAAAAUAAAUUUCUGUUGUUUAUAAGCCA